AGUGUGACUACUGGAUCAUAUGGUAAGACUAUGUUUAGCUUUGUAAGAAACUGCCAGACUGCCUUCCAAACUAGCUGUACCACUUUGCAUUCCCACCAGCUAU
rnacentral:pre_miRNA from 1 species